UCGACUCAUCAGUGCAAUUCAAGUAUGUUCUUGCGAGGUGCAGGCCUAGUAUAGCCAAAAAUUUCUCUAGCUUUGUCUCAAAUCUAGCAGGUGGCUAGACCAGGCUCGUGUGCCACGUCCGAUCUUCACGAUUAAAGAAACAUUUGCCAAGAAUGAAGAUCUAGUUUGAGGAUCAGAUGUAGUCUUGGGACCUUAAAAGCAGCCUGCAGGAGAAGAAUUAAUUCUAGUUUGGACUGACAACAGGAUUUUGCUCCAUCUCUGCAUGUGCUGGAGGGAACUUCGUACUUCGAAUCUUCGCAGAUAGGUCAUGCUGCUGCAAUAUCCUUCUUAAUAAUCAAGUCUGCGACAGUCUAGUCUGGGUAGACUCAAACUGGAUAGAAAUGUAUGCAAUGGCCACUUGCAGUCAUGCAAACCCGGAAAUGAAGAAUUAUUGGAGCAUUCAGACAAUUAGAUGCUCUUAUUUAAUGAACUAAAGACUUACGUCGAUGAAGAUGAUCCAUAGAGUCCAAGAGCUGGAGUGGUGAUGAUCCCAAUUCUGAAUUUGGAAUUGGAAGACCAUAAAAUCCUGUGGGGGAAAAGGAACCUAUCAUUGGCACGCCAUCCAAAUCAGUAGAAGAGACCACUUCUCC
rnacentral:lncRNA from 1 species